CUCAGCAACUUUAGACAAUCUCAAAAUUUAAGUAGAGUUAACCAUGAUGAAUACUUUGAUAGGAAACUACCUGGGAAUUCUAGGGCUGUAA
rnacentral:rRNA from 1 species